rnacentral:rRNA from 1 species
UACGGAGGGGGGUAGCGUUGGUCGGAAGUACUGGGCGUAAAGCGCGCGUAGGCGGACAUGCAAGUCGGGGGGGAAAGCCCGAGGCUCAACCUCGGAACUGCCUUCGAUACUGCGGGUCUCGAGUCCGGGAGAGGUGAGUGGAAUUCCUAGUGUAGAGGUGAAAUUCGUAGAUAUUAGGAAGAACACCAGUGGCGAAGGCGGCUCACUGGCCCGGUACUGACGCUGAGGCGCGAAAGCGUGGGGAGCAAACAGG